CCUACGGGGGGCAGCAGUGGGGGAUAUUGCACAAUGGGGGAAACCCUGAUGCAGCGAAGCCGCGUGGGGGAAGAAGUAUUUCGGUAUGUAAAGCCCUAUCAGCAGGGAAGAAGAAAUGACGGUACCUGCGUAAGAAGCACCGGCUAAAUACGUGCCAGCAGCCGCAGUAAUACGUAUGGUUCAAGCGUUAUCCGGAUGUACUUGGGGGAAAGGGAGCGCAGGGGGCACCGGAAGCCUGAGGGUAAAUCCCGCGGACCAACCGCCGUACUGCCUUGGGAACUCCCCGGCUGGAGUGCCGGAGAGGUAUGCGGAAUUCCUAGUGUAGCGGUGAAAUGCGUAGAUAUUAGGCGGAACACCAGUGGCGAAGGCGGCCUACUGGCCGGUGACUGACGCUGAGGCUCGAAAGCGUGGGUAGCAAACAGGAUUAGAUACCCCGGUAGUC
rnacentral:rRNA from 1 species